UACAGAGGGUGCAAGCGUUAAUCGGAAUUACUGGGCGUAAAGAGCUCGUAGGCGGCUUGUCACGUCGAUUGUGAAAGCCCGAGGCUUAACCUCGGGUCUGCAGUCGAUACGGGCUAGCUAGAGUGUGGUAGGGGAGAUCGGAAUUCCUGGUGUAGCGGUGAAAUGCGCAGAUAUCAGGAGGAACACCGGUGGCGAAGGCGGAUCUCUGGGCCAUUACUGACGCUGAGGAGCGAAAGCGUGGGGAGCGAACAGG
rnacentral:rRNA from 1 species